GACGAACGCUGGCGGCGUGCUUAACACAUGCAAGUCGAACGGUAAAGCUCUGCUCUUGCGGCGUGCUCGAGUGGCGAAAGGGUGAGAAUCACGCGAGUAACCUGUCCCUGACAUCGGGAUAACUCCAGGAAACAGGGACUAUUAUCGGACAGGAGCACCUGCUGCAUGGUUGGUGUUGGUAAGAUACGCAGUUUGAGGACUGACUCGUGGUGUAUCAGCUUGUUGGUGAGGUAGUGGCUUACCAAGGCUCUGACGAGUAGCCGGCCUGAGAGGGUGACAGGCCACAUUGGGACUGAGAAACGGGCCAGAGUGCUACUGGAGGCAGAAGUGGGAGUCAUAGCGCGAUGGGCGGAGGCCGGAAGCAGCGACGCCGCGUGCGAGAUGACUGUCUGCGGGGUGGAAACCGCUUGCGCCUGGAACGAAGAGUGAGUGACGGUAAUGGGUAAAGAAGCAACGGCUAACUACGUG
rnacentral:rRNA from 1 species